CCCCAGCAGCAAAAGCCUUCCGCCCCCGCCCCCUGGUAGUGCCGAGCUCGCCUCCCACGUCGUUGCCGCCGUACGCAGGCUCGCGGGUGCCUACUCCCGCUCCCUGGAGGUCGUUCCCGUCGUUCCUCUGCCGAAAGCCCUCCGUUCCCACCUCCCACCGCCGCGGAGCGGUUGUGCGGAUUUAUAUAAAGGCACUCCGACAGGAGAGACUCUCAAGGCAAUUCCUCGUUAGUAUAGUGAGUUUCUUUUUACGGGAACCUGAGAAGCCCUGGAGUCAGCAGUCCUUGAGGUGAAGGGACCCGAGCACCUGCUUCUUACCUACCUAAAAAAGGAACGAGGGAAAUGGAAACCAGCUACUUUGAGAUUUGAGAGUAAAAGGCAGGACAGACUGACCAUCUGUCUUGAUGCUGACCCGGUCAGCAGAAACAUGGUUGUAAGUUUGUAUGGCAGUGACAUUAGACAGGAAACUAUAUUUAAUUUGCUGGCUUCUUGGAUGAAGAAUUAACACCACAUAAUAAACAAGUGCUUGGAACAAA